UGGGAGAGGGAGUUGUCUUGUCAUUGCAAGAGUUCAUUUCCAUCGUGGCGAUUGCUGGAAGAACACAACGAGACGUCGUCGAACACGGACGAGCGGGCCUGACCCUUUGCUGCCUGUGGAGAACAUGCGUCACCUGGUGCGGAUGAAAUCACACGGAAGCCACAAGAUAUCAUAUCAAGCAAAUUUUUGAGUAUCGAAUGGCCAAGUAUCGAGUGAAAA